rnacentral:rRNA from 1 species
UUGAAAGGGAAACGAUUGAAGUCAGUCGUACCGACGAGUAAUCAGCCUUUCGGGUGUGAUUUUGCCGGACACGGAGAGCUUUACCGCAUUCGUGCUUGUAAAUUUGUGCCCUUUGGGUGUACUUUCUCGUAUGGUUAGUUAACAUCAAUUUUGAUCGUUAUAAAAUGACUGGAGUAAUGUAGCUUCGAUCUUGUAUUGAAGUGUUAUAGACUUUGGUAGAUGUAACGAUCAGGAUUGAGGAUUGCAACGAAUACCCUUCGGGCUAUCCGUCUGGCCUCUGAAAGUUGUCUUGGUGCCGAAAGCGUGCUUACGGUUAUCGAGGCUGACGGUCAAAAGGUUAGAACGCGAUUAAAUUCGUUAAGGAUGUUGACGUA